rnacentral:rRNA from 1 species
AACGAACGCUGGCGGCGUGCCUAACACAUGCAAGUCGAACGAGAAACUUCCCGCUUGCGGGAGGGAGUAAAGUGGCGCACGGGUGAGUAACGCGUGGGUAACCUGCCCUUGAAUCUGGGAUAACUCUGCGAAAGCGGUGCUAAUACCGGAUAUGGUUUCGAGGACUUCGGUUUUCGGGAUUAAAGGUGACCUCUUCAUGAAAGUUGCCGUUUAAGGAUGGGCCCGCGUACCAUUAGCUUGUUGGUAGGGUAAUGGCCUACCAAGGCUGCGAUGGUUAGCUGGUCUGAGAGGAUGAUCAGCCACACUGGAACUGAAACACGGUCCAGACUCCUACGGGGGGCAGCAGUGAGGAGUUUUGCGCAAUGGGGGAAACCCUGACGCAGCAACGCCGCGUGAGCGAAGAAGGCCUUCGGGUCGUAAAGCUCUGUCAAGUGGGAAAAACGGCUACCGGUCAAUAGCCGGCAGAUCUGAUGGUACCAUUGAAGGAAGCACCGGCUAACUCCGUGCCAGCAGCCGCGGUAAUACGGAGGGUGCAAGCGUUGUUCGGAAUUAUUGGGCGUAAAGAGCGUGUAGGCGGUUUAGUAAGUCAGAUGUGAAAGCCCUGGGCUCAACCCGGGAAGUGCAUUUGAAACUGCUUUACUUGAGUAUGGGAGAGGAGAGUGGAAUUCCUGGUGUAGAGGUGAAAUUCGUAGAUAUCAGGAGGAACAUCUGUGGCGAAGGCGACUCUCUGGACCAAUACUGACGCUGAGACGCGAAAGCGUGGGUAGCAAACAGGAUUAGAUACCCUGGUAGUCCACGCCGUAAACGAUGAGAACUAGGUGUAGCGGG